ensembl:lncRNA
CACAUACAUACACACACACACACACACACACACACACACAUAUAUAAGAGCUGCACCAAUACUAAAUUUUUCAGCCAAUACGAUGACCGGUUAUUCAGAGUGAAAUCGGCCGAUGCCGAUAGUUCUGCCUUUUAUGCCUUCUAAUGAAUUAUUAAUGAUUAAUUUAAAAGAAUUCUGAAAGACGUUGUUUCACAGUAACUGGUCUCAUCAACAGAAAACAUAUUACUCAAAUUAACAUGAACACAUUAAUUAAAUGCUGAAGAUGAAAGUAAGAUUUCUUAACUUGUUUCACAGUAACUGGUCUCAUCAACAGGAAACACACUACUCAAAUUAACAUGAACACAUUAAUUAAAUGCUGAAGAUUAAAGUAAGAUUUCUUCUUAUUGAAUGUUAUUAAUUCAUAUUAACAUUGAUUGAAUUCUAAAAAACCUCCUGUUAGGCUUCACAUUCACUCACCACAAACAAAAGCAUUUGUACUUCAUCACUGAACAUCAAAUUGGUAACAUAUAAUUUUUUUUAUUAUUAACAUUAACUGGAUAUUUAUCUACAAAUAUAUUUUUCUGCACAAUAUAUACUUUUAUUGUAAACUCAUCUUCAUUUAAAUCUUUCAACGGUGUACCGGCCGCUUAAUUCAGCGGGAGGGUGAGGGGGCAGCGAGGGAGCGGUGAUUGACUCGACACCGAAACUUCUGCAUCCUAAAAUUUACUUCCGGUGUAAAAUUUUAUCAGUGCAGAGAUUACAUACAUUACAAACUGCAGUUUUGUCAUCAUCUUUACACACAGCACGAAAUCGAUGUGUUUUCCCGCCCUCUUUUGAUUGACAGGAUACAAACGGCCCUGAUCAUCAGAUGUAUCGGGAAAGCGAUAGCGGGAAUAAUAGCCUUAAAUUAAAUACUAUAUUUUAGAGCUGUACCAACGUAUCAGCCAAUAAUCGGUAUCGGCCGAUACAUUGGUGCAUCUCUAAAAUAUAGUAUUUAAUUUAUUUCACUAUUAUACACUUACCUCAAUAACUGCUAUGUCCAUAUUUGGUGUAAGCUAAUCUGAUAAAUACUCAGUCAUAGCAUGUUAUGUUUACAUUUAUACCAUUUUUAAAUUAUAUUGUUACUCCUUGGCACCUAUCUUCUGCACUACCUGCAUAUCAGACACUUUGUACUGUGUACUGUUCAGCACUACACUGUCACUUACUGUGUCUAUUGUCCUGUUUUAGUAGCACUGUAUUGUCCUGUGUUUUAACACCCGUCUGAACGUGCACUUUAUGUAGAAUGUUUGUAGAUCUUACUUAGUUCUGUGUCGUUUUAUGUGGCACCAUGGUCCUAGAGGAACAUUGUUUUGUUUCACUGUGUACUGUUCCAGCUGUAUAUGGUUGAAAUGACAAUAAAAGUAGAUAUGUUGGAGGAAUUUAGCUACUGAUAAUUUAACAUUUUAAUUUGAUUCCGCUCAAAUGAACAAAAUUAAUUGAAUAAAGAUUUGUUCGUAAUCCUAAACGAGAUUCAAAGAUCCAAGUCAGUAAAAUGAUCCAAUCUUCUGAUCUCUAGUGGAAACAGAGAGUGAGUGCAUCUGGGAAGCAAGCGGGAAACGGAAACCGCAGACCAGAUCUUUAGCGGAGCGAUUACAGAAUGCUUUUAGUGGGGAUGGGAAAUCCUCUCCGCUCCACUCCGUUCACACAGCCUACAGUGCUGUUCUGCCUGCCAGAGGGACAGCUUAGCCUGUGAGGGCAAAUGGGCAGUGGCUCAGGCCAAUCCCUUGUGUAUGUCCCUGCAAUACAACAAUUUGGAAUUUCCUUAAAAAGAAAGAAACUGAUGUACUGAGCAACAGAUACAAAAUGGCUCGGCCAAGGAAAACAACAACUGAUGACAAACAUUGUGAGAGCUGUGAAGAAAAACCCAAAAACUACAGUUAGUGACAACCUCCACAGGGAAGGGGUGAAGGCCUUACAAUCCACCGUUCAAAGAACUGCAGACUGCAGAGUGAAGAACUAGUGCAGAAAUACGGAGGCUAUACCACAAGAUGCAAACCACUCAUCAACAGUAAGAAUCAGAAGACCAGAUUGGAAUUCAGAUAUGAGAAAUACAGAUAUGAGCCACAUAAGUUCUAGAACCAAGAUUAACUGCUACCAAAGUGAUAGAAAGGCCAAAGUGUGGAGAAAGAAAGGAUCUGCUCAUGAUCCAAAACAAACAAGUUUAUAUGUGAAACAUGGUAUAGGUAGUAUCGUGGCUUGGGUUUUAGACUGGCCAAGUCAAUCACUAGUCCUUAACCCAACUGAGCAUGCAUUUCACACCCUGAAGAGGAGACUGAAGGGAGAAACUCCCCGAAACAAAACAACUGAAAGACACUAUGGUAAAAGCCUGGGAAAGCAUCACAAAAGAUGUCAAUGAAUCACACAUUUGAUGCAGUUAAUACAAGCAAGGGAUAUGCAACAAAUAUUAAAUGUUAUAUACUUUAAUUUACUUUAAGACUUGUCUGUUCCUUUACUUUUGCUCACCUAAAAACUGGGUGGUCUGAUAGAAAAGGUUUUAUGUCGUUUAACACAUCUAGAUGUAAAUACCAGAAAAUAAAAUCUAAACUCUCUUCUCAUAUCAUCAUAUCUUUUGUUCUCAAACCCAAAUGUCUUUUGUGUAUAGCACAAAAAAAAGAAUUGGCCUUGUCAUUACAAUCGUUUCGGAGGGGACUGUAGGCACAUAAAUAAAAAUGGUGGUCUUAAUUUUUCAUGUGAGCUGAUCUAAUAAAACAUACAGUAUAUGGCCAAAAGUCUGUCUGACCAUUAUACCCAUAUUUUCUUGUUAAACAUCCCAUUUCAGAUCUAGCCCUAGGAAUUUUAGUUUGAAUGAAAUCAAGAAAGUCAGUAGGAACAAGGCGGAGUAAAUAAGUGUGAAUGAGAGGGAGGGUGGAGGAAUGGUGAGGAUGCAAGAAGUUGAGGUGGUGAAGGAGUUUAAAUACUUGGAGUCAAUUGCCCAAAGUAAUGGAGAGUGUGGUAGAGAAGUGAAGAAGAGAAUGCAGGCAGGGCAAAGUGGAAUUUCUAUUUGUGUUGGAAGGGUACCUGCUAAAGUGAAUGAAAAGUUUACAAGAUGGUAGAGUGAAAAGGUAUGUUGUAUGGUUUGGAGGAAGUGGUACUGACAAAAGGCAGGAGCCAGAGCUUGAAGUGGCAGAGAUGAUGAUGCUGCUAUAUUCAUUGUGACAAGGAUGGACAAGAUUAGAAAUAAGUAUAUCGGAGGGACAGCGCAGGUAGGACAGUUUGGAGACAAAGCGAGAGAUGCAAGAUGAGAUGGUUUGGGCAUGUGCAGACGAGGGAUGCAGGGUAUAUCAAGAAAAGAAUGUUGAAAAUGUAACCACCAUGCAGGAGGAGAAGAGGAAGACCAAGGAGCAGGUUUAUGGAUUUGGUAAGGAGGACAUGCGGGUGGUUGGUGUGACAGAGGGGGAUAAAGACGCCAGAGUGACAUGGAGACAGAUGAUCUGCUGUGGCGACACUUAACCAGAGCAGCUGAAAGAAGAAGAAGAAGAAUACUUUGAAUGAGAUCAAGGUCUUUUUCCAGAAGAAAGGGGACUCUUUGAGACUGAAACAUCAUAGCAGUGGGAACAUACAUCUUAUUCCAGACUGCAAAGUCUCAAAAUUCUUUGUGAGCAGACUAUGUAGCCCCUGCAAGCAAAGGAGAGUGUACUGCACAUUUUUCAGUGAUCAACAAUCCCACACAGAAGCUUCUCUGCAUGCUCAAUUUGCAAAUAGCUUUGUGUGCAUGCAAUUCAAUUCAUGAAACCAGGCAUUAGGCUUGUGUGAUAUAGAUUUUUUCCUACUCACAAUUUUUCCAUUUUAAAAUAUCAUGAUAAAUGAUUUAAGCAUCCAGACUAUAGCCUAAAAACAACCACUAGCCUAAAAAAAGACAGGAAAACAAGCAUUUCCACAAAUUCAGGUUUAAGGGGAGUAGGGGAGGGUGUAAUCAUUUUACCAGCUGUGAAGUAUUGAAAUGCAGAAGGAAUCACAAAAACUCAGGUGGAUGGUGGACUUUUUAGGUCAACAUAUAGUAAAGUAUACAUGUCUAAUAUUAGCAAUGUCAAACAUACACUGAUAUAUUUUAUUUAAUGAAAAAAAUCUCCAUUUAUCUUGUCAGAAAGUGAUGGCUCCACCAACAUGAGUCAAGAACAUGUGAGAUGGAUUGAAGGGGCUUCAAGGCUUCAAGGGGCUGUCAGUAAAAAUUGGAGAAUUCAAAACACCCAUGCAAAUCACUCAAGAUUAAUAUGUCAAUCAUCUUCUAUCUUACUGGACAGAAGGAAAUGCUCUUUUGGAGUAUUUUUGGCUGAUAACUUCCUCCAAUGUUUAAUUGCAGAGCAAAAUGCGUAAUGUUGGCAGGUCUAGUAAUAUAAACUGCAUAAAUGUCAGUGUCAGUAAAAGGGCAAUGUAAUAUUGUGUAGAGACGGUAAAAUUAUUUCGCACAAGCUUACCAAAUUAUUUCGUACAAGCUACCAGAGGCGCACGCCCUCUGGUAGCAACCACGCUCACUUACGUUGGGCAUCCUUCCACUCUAUUAAUAAUACUGUCUAAACACCAGAAUUUUCCAGUUCCUGUUUGUGAAAACAACAUGCUCAACAGAAACAUGUUUUUUAAUCUCCUGUAGCAUCUCCUUUUUCAAGAUUAAUAACAAAAAAAUAAACCUACUUUACUAUGCUUUACUAUUUAAUGUAUUUUUCAAUAUGCAGACAUAUCGAAUGGAGAGUCUUGUAUUGAACUACAUGAUACAUAUUGUUAUACUCCUAAUAAAUUAUUUAGUGUUGUUUUAAUGUAUGACAGUAUAAUGUAGUUUUGAAAAAGAAAAUACUGAAGAAAACACUCAACAUCAGAUUAAUCAAUAUAUCAAACAACGUUUUUGGAGCUUAUGCGCUGUAAAUAAUAUUCACCUUGAAUCCCAGAGGAAUGGGUCACAGUGCCUCUCUUUGGACUCUGCUUUCCCUGGGAUGAACCAUUAUCAGGCUUUGCAGAUGGUGACAUCAUUGAUACCUGCAUUGCCAUGGAACCAUCAGUACUGCCAUGGCCCAUGUGAUGGUGCUGCGGACAUCCUUGCAGGGGGGUAAACAUCUGUGCAGUAGGCAUCAGGGGAGUCAGGGGUUCAGAUUGCUCAGCAGACAGAAGUGCAUGCUGAGAUUGAUAACAGGGGACUCCAUUUGGCACCAUGCCAUAAUGCUGCUGUUGUGGCUGCAGAUGCUGAGGUGGGGGUUGCUGCUGGUGCUGUUGGUGAUGAAGCACUGUUGGAGACUGAUGCUGCAUUGGUGAGAUAUCAGUAUGCAUCUGGUUUGAGUAAACACCAUACAUGCCAUGAGAGUAUCGUAUCGUCACAGGUGACCCACCUUGCUGUUGGCCAGGAGUUCCCAGCCCCCAGUACUGUUCCCUUGUCACUGGGGGUUGCUGAGAACUCCCCAUGUUCCUAUUGACUGGGUAGUGUCCCUGAAAGGCAUGAGGGGGUUGCUGCUGUUUUUGGGCUGUAUCAUGGGUACCACAACCAGAGUCAGAGCCCAAGGCAGGAUUGUAAUGGUUUGGGGUCCACAAGUAGUCAUAUUCCAUGAUGGAUUGAUGGUGUUGAUGGGGAUAAGAGGAAGGAGGAGGGUGGGGGCCAGACUGAUUGCCCCCAUCUGCAGUAGUGAUGCCAUUUACAUUCAUAUCACCAUUCGGAUCUGUACACAAGUCAGAAAAAAAAAUUCACAUUCUCCAAAAAUAACAGGCAAUAUAUUUGAUCAGACAACACCAAAGACAUUUGGGUUUGAGCUCAAAAGAUGAAUAUGAGAAGAUAGAUUAAAUUUUCGGCUUUCAUUUUGGAACAUGGCAAAUUUGGUAGCAGAUCACCCAAUUUUUAGGUGAGCAAAAGUACUGAAACAGAUAUUCUUAAAGUAAAUUAACAUAAAUGACACUUAAUAUUUGGCUGCAUAUCCCUUGCUUGCAAUAACUGCAUCAAUCAGCAACCAACUGACAUCACCAAACUCUUGCAUUCUUUUUUUGUGAUGCUUUUCCAGGCUUGUUCCGCAUCUCCUCUCAGUUGUUGUUUGUUUAGGGAAGGUUCUCCCUUCAGUCUUCUCUUCGUGAAAUGCAUUGUCAAUUGUGUUAAGAACUGGUGAUUGUCAUGGCUAGUCUAAAACCUUCCACCCUGUGGAGGUUGUUGUUUAUGUCCUCACAGCUCUCACAAGAGUUGAUGACAGAAACUGACAAAAACUGUCAUCAACUGCUGUUGUUAGUAAACCAGUGGUUUCUUUCUUUGUCAUGAGAUUUGACAUUGCUGUAUUUGCUAUGCCCAAUGCAUGUGCAAUGGCAAUCUUCCUACUCAGCCUCAAAAUGGCAAGCUGUAGUAGAAAUUCAGACCUAUUAAUUGUUUAAUCAAUCAAUCUAACAGGAAACACCUGGGCAACACCUGUCAGUCACAUUUUUCCACCAAUUUUCUUGCUAAUUUAGUCAUGGUAAAUUCCCACCCAUCAGGCGACUCUCCCCAAGACACAACAACUACCAACCAGGGAGGUACGUGAAGCCAGCCGACCGUAUCUUUUUGAACUGCUGUUCAUGCAGCAUCAGGGGAGGCGUAACACGAUCAGAGGAAAGUGCUAUGCGCUUACUUCCGCACGAACGAGCUCAUGACACCCAUGAUUGGCUAGUGUCACUGUGAUUGAUAGGAGACAAAUAGUAUGCCACCCCUCUCUCCCUGACAGCACAGCCAAUUUUGCACUCUUUGACUACCAGCCACAUGCAUAUGAUGGCUGUGGCAUCAUACAGAUUCUAAAGCGCAAUCUAUGGAUAAUAGUGUGAACGGUUUCGCCAGUUGUGCCACUCGGGAGCCCUUUGUUCCAAUAUUUAUGAUAAUUUGAAAAAUGGAUGGGUUCAAAUAAAAGGUGCCAUGUUCAAUAACAUAUCUAGAUGUAAAUAUCAGGAAACAAAAGCUGAAAUUCUCAUCCAUCAUCUCAUAUUCAUCUUUUGAUCUCAAACCCAAAUGUCUUUAAUUUACAGCAAAACAAAGAAUUGUCCUUGCCGUUCCAAUACUUUUGGAUGGGAUUCUUUUUCAAACUGACUGCACAUCAAAACUGUUGUCAAAAUCAGUAAGUUAGCGAGGCUGUGUUUUUUUUGCAUGGAACUCUCACCAGUAAUAUUUCAGUAAUAUGAAUAGCAACAAUCUUUUAUACGUUUAUAUGUAAUGUGUUUCUAAAGUGCAGAGAAAUAUAGUAACCUCGACUAAUACCGACACCCUUGGCUGUCAAAAAUUGUCUUUAUUGUUUAACCUUUUGAUAUUUUGCUAAAAAAAAUUCACAAACAUACUCUGCUCUCAUAGAUAUCAAACAAUUGCAAACAACUAGGGCUGCAACUAACAAUUAUUUUCAUAAUCGAUUAGUUGGCCGAUUAAUCGGUUGGGGGGAGGCAAAAGUUCAGUACCAUUUUUUCAUUUAUUUAAAAUAAAAUCCACAAACUGAGUGUCACCAAUAAAACUUCAGACUAAAACUUUACACAACUGAAAAGAAGCCAAUAAACACAGACACACACCAGAAUAUAUAUUAUUAAUUUAUGGACUACAGUUUAAUUCAGUGAUUUUUGUAUAUCCAUAAAAAUAGUUUAUAUUAUAUAUAAGUAUUUAUGCAUUUUUUUAUGGAUGCACAAAAAUCACUGUCUAAAAAAAACUACAGUCCUAAAUUAAUAAUAAAAACUCACUUUCACUGCACCUUGUGGUUUCUGUUACUCACUGCCUUUAGGAAUAUUAUUUUACUUGUGUUUACUUUUGAUCAUAGUGUUUUAAUUAGAUAUUGCAGAUCUUAUUUAAGCUCCCACUGUGCAUCACCGAGUCUGCAUCGCAUGUGAGGAGCAACGCGGCCUUGUUACUAACACAUCACUUCCGUUAUAUUAAACAACAGAAUUUACACUGCAAGCGCACAAAUACAGCAUAUAAUGACAAACUUAAACUAAGCCUUUUAAGCAACUCGCAUUAGUUUCCCCAACCCCUCACACACAGUGGAGCAUUUUGGAUAUAAACAUGAGUAUGAUGUCAUGUGCCAUCAACUAGGAAGCCGUGUAUACUUCCGUUUAGUAAAAAACGCUCGUGUUCCAUAUGAGAUGAUACUACCCUUCUAAAAUUCAUACACUAGAUGGUAGAGUGCAUAAUGUAAGUGUAAUACACAGUGCAUAAUGUAAGUGUAUAGUACGUUACUUGGGACACAAUUUUAGUAUUUACUAAGCGUGUUUUCGGAACAGAAAUAACGUAGUGAGUAAACGUACCUAGUGCCACACGCAGACAAACUAAUCGAUAAUGAGAUUCGUUGACAACGAUUGUCAAAAUCGAUUAUUAUCGAUUAGUUGUUGCAGCUCUACAAACAGGUUUAUCCCAAAAACAACAAAAAACCUUUGUUAAACAUGUGUGGCACAAUUAUCUGCACUACUUUAAAUUUAUAUAAGAAAAAUACAUUUGAAGUAUAUUCCCAUUGAUAUUUUACAUUUUUUUGUACACCUGGAUGACUAGGAACAGGAAAUUGUUCGAUCAUGACUUCAUGUUUCACAGGGCUAUAAAUAUGAGGUAAUACAUAGGCCAAAUUCCCUUAGUCAUUCAUCACAAUGGAUAAGACCAAGGAAUAUAGCUGUGAUGUCCGGCAAAAGGUUGUUGAGCUUCACAAAAUGGGAAGUGGCAAUAAGAAUAUAGCAAAAGCAUUGAAAAUGCCCAUUUCCACCAUCAGGGCAACUGGAAAUUUUAUGAAUCAACCUGAAAGAGGACACGUGUCUAUAUUGUCUCAACACACUGUGAACAAGGUAGUUCGAGUGGCCAAAAAAUCUCCAAGGAUCACAGCUGGAGAACUGCAGAAGUUAGUUGUAUCUUGGUCAGAAAGUCUCCAAAAAUACAAUCCGAAGUCACCAUCACCACAAGUUGUUUGGAAGGGUUUCAAAAAAAAGCCUCUACUCUCAUCCAAAAACAAACUCAAGCCUCUUCAGAUUGCUAGACACUACUGGAACUUCAAACGGGAUCAGGCUCUAUGGUCAGAUGAAAACAAAAUAGAGCUUUUUGGCAAUAAAAACCAGAGGUGGUUUUGAGAGGUAGCCAUAUGGAAAAGUACCUCAUGCCCAUGAUUAAAUAUGGUGGACGUUUUUCUGUCAGAGAACCUGGACAUUUUGUUUGGAUACAUGGCAUCAUGGACUCUAGCAAAUAUCAACAGAUAUUAAAUGAAUACCUGACUGCCUCUACCAGAAAGCUUAAAAUGGUCUGUGGUUGGAUCUUCCAGCAGGACAAUGAUCCAAAACAUACAUCAAAACAAACACAAAAUUAGUUUACUGACCACAAAAUCAUGGUCCUGGCCAUCCAAAACAUGGCCAUCCCAGGAGAGAUUCUGUCUGGAGGAAUGGUCUCAGAUCCCAUGUAAUGUAUUCUCCAACUUCAUCAGGCAUUAUAGAAGAAGACUCAAAGCUGUUAUCUUGGCAAAGGGAGGUAGCGCAAAGUAUUGACUAAAAGGGUGCCACAUAUAUUUAACAAAGUUUAUACAUAUAUAUAUCUGUGCUGUUUUUGCAAUGUUUGAUAUCCAUGAGAGCAGAAUAUUUUUGUGAAGUUUUUUAACUAAUGAUCAAAAGGUUAAACAAAGACAAAUUUCCACAGACUUCAUUGCUCAUAUUUACCAAGGGUACCAAUGUUAGUGGAGGGCACUGUAGUUAUGUGCAAAGUGUUGACAUUGAUAUGAAUAUGAGCGAGUCGCUGUGGCCGACAUCACAAAUGGUGUAUUCCACAACUCUGCCUAAAAUGUCAUGGAUAUCAUGGAUAAGCAGACAAGAUAUUCAAGUUUUCUUGCUGAUACACACCAAUAUGCUGACAAAGUAACCGGUUACUUGUGUUCUGAGCAAAAAUAAAUGAUAAAAACUGUCAUUUAACCAUUUUAGACUAAAUGUAUGUAAUCAGUUCAGAUAUGUCAAAUGUGCUGGGUGAAUAAAAAUACAAAUAAUGUGAAUAUUAUAGCAUAACAACUAUAGCACAACGACACCAUUGCUAUGAGAGCACAUAUUAUAUUUGCACUAACGUAUAUGAUUUAGUUCUUCCAUCUACUAGUCCUACUCAAUUCGUUUCAACCUGCCAAAUUGAUUAUUCAAUGAAGAAAAGGUCCAGGCCCUACUUUUUUAACGUUAACUACGUAACUAAUGUGUAUAGCUAACACUUCACACAUAAAACGAAAGCAAAAAAUACUUAAGAGCUCGCUCACUUUAGAUUUGCAUCUAAAACUCAAGUAAUAAAAACAAAUUGGGGGGGGGGGGGGGCACGUUGAAAACAAAUGGGAAAAUGAGAAAACUUUAUGUUAUACUUAUACUACAGUUAAUCUAAAAUUACCUAAAAUAUUUCUCAGCGACUUUUAUUUAGGUAGGCCUUACAUUAAGCUAGAUCUCAGUCAUAGAUCGACAAUUUAAUGCCAUCUUUACGCCGUCUUACUGGGCCUAUACAACCCUGGUAACGUUGUUUCAGAUUAUCGGUAUCGCUAGCUGGCUAUUUAGUUUAAGAAACGUACUUUAAAUGCCUACAUGCAUAGCAUUUUCCUUCUCAAUGCAUGCAGUAAAACACCUCUUUAUGAAUAACACAUGCGUCAGGUAGCGAAGUCAUAUGUAGGCUUGCCUAAAGAACUUUCAAAUCUAUCGAUAAAUUGCUAACAAGCUAUGGUAAAUGUACACAAAAUUCAAAGACUAGCAAAUGAUCCGAGAUUCAUGUACAACCAGUUUCUGAGAAAUCCCACAUUAUAGGUAUGCUAUACUGGUAACUGCGGAUGUGUACCCUUUGUUGGUGCCACACAUUGUUUUGCCGAGUUACGGCAGGGAAUUUUUUAAGACAGCUUCGCCCACACGGUCCAAAGUUUUUACUCAAUAAAUAAUUGUAAAAAUCCUAACCUCGUAUUCCUACGAUUAAAUAGGCAACACUGCCUUUGGGUCCCGGGUUUACAAUCUAUGAGAAGAUGAUACAAGUGAUGUUAAUAAUAAACAGGCUUUCUUUAGGAUUCAAAUUAGCAAACAUGGCUGCUAUUUUCUGAACGCAGCUAUGAUCAUAUACGACAACUCUAGCCCAAAGAGGAAGUGCCUAGCGCGUUACGCACUACGGAGAGCCACAUAGACCAAAGUGUCUGUCUCUCUCUCGCGCGCGCUCUCUGGUUGUCGGUGUUGUUUUUUUUUAUCGCAACCAAAUGUACCGGGGUGUGCAAC